AGUAGGGAAUCUUCCGCAAUGGACGAAAGUCUGACGGAGCAACGCCGCGUGAACGAUGAAGGCUUUCGGGUCGUAAAGUUCUGUUGUUAGGGAAGAACAAGUACCGAAGUAACUGCCGGUACCUUGACGGUACCUAACCAGAAAGCCACGGCUAACUACGUGCCAGCAGCCGCGGUAAUACGUAGGUGGCAAGCGUUGUCCGGAAUUAUUGGGCGUAAAGCGCGCGCAGGCGGCCCUUUAAGUCUGAUGUGAAAGCCCACGGCUCAACCGUGGAGGGUCAUUGGAAACUGGGGGACUUGAGUACAGAAGAGGAAAGUGGAAUUCCACGUGUAGCGGUGAAAUGCGUAGAGAUGUGGAGGAACACCAGUGGCGAAGGCGACUUUCUGGUCUGUAACUGACGCUGAGGCGCGAAAGCGUGGGGAGCAAACAGGAUUAGAUACCCUGGUAGUCCACGCCGUAAACGAUGAGUGCUAAGUGUUAGAGGGUUUCCGCCCUUUAGUGCUGCAGCUAACGCAUUAAGCACUCCGCCUGGGGAGUACGGCCGCAAGCUG
rnacentral:rRNA from 1 species